UACGUAGGGUGCAGGCGUUAAUCGGAAUUACUGGGCGUAAAGCGUGCGCAGGCGGUUUGCUAAGACAGGUGUGAAAUCCCCGGGCUUAACUUGGGAACUGCGCUUGUAACUGGCAAGCUAGAGUGUGGCAGAGGGGGGUGGAAUUCCACGUGUAGCAGUGAAAUGCGUAGAGAUGUGGAGGAACACCGAUGGCGAAGGCAGCCCCCUGGGCUAACACUGACGCUCAUGCACGAAAGCGUGGGGAGCAAACAGG
rnacentral:rRNA from 1 species